GAAUGAUGCCGAGGGUCUAUUUGGAAACAACCUCUCUACCCCAGGGUAGGGGUAAGGUAUGCGUACACAUUACCCUCCCCAGACCCCACUAGUGGGAUUAUACUGGGUUGUUGUUGUUGUUGUUGCUCCUUACAUGAUUCUAGGCUUUAGUAUGAACCUCAGAAGAAUAGUAUGUCUUCUAUGUAGUGAGCUUUGAAGUAUGCUUGGUUUUAAUUGCAUUCUUUAUAUCAAUGGUUUUACAGCUUGAUGGAAAGCGAUUUUCAUCGAAGACGGCGGAGGAUAAUCAGGUGUUCAUACAGUGUAAGAAUGCCACUUGCUUAUCUUGUUCCUUUGUUCAUGUUAUAUUAUGGAAAGAACUAUUAGUGCCUAGGUCUCCAGGAUAUUGUAUGCAUGGUUGGUUUUCAAUAAAUAAAAAGAUCAAUGGGAAUUCUGUGUUUCUAGGAAUACUAUAGCUGUCUCUGGUUUGAUGUUGAUUCAAUAUGGUGGAACCAUCUCAAAGGCAGAGGGUUGAGCUUCCGUCUUUUCUUCUAAUCAUCCUAAAUCCUGAAGAGAAAUUUGUACAGGGGUUAAUGGCCCUUGUAGAUCGAUCCAUUUACAUCUUCUCAGUGUCCAUAUCAAAUCAUUUAUUGUUUUAAUGGACAGUAGGUUAAUCAUGCCUACUUAAUAACAUAAUGUAGAUAGUGGGACAGGCUUGCAACAACCAGAAGUAUUGUAAAAAAGAUGAAGUAACUUGAGUCUCUGGUCUGGUUGUUCGAGAGGCACCGUCC
rnacentral:lncRNA from 1 species